CCUAUGGAUUUUUAUUCAUAUCAAUAGUUCAAAACAAUAAAAGGGAGGAAAACAUUUUUAGAUGAUCCUUCAAAAGUUAAAACACAGAAUUUCAGCCUGUGUUCGCCGGACGUCUCUCAGAGCUGAGAUCAGCUGUCACACAGAUCAAAGUUCAUAUUGUGUUUGCACAAAAAUGCAAAGCUGAUUCACAGGAUGAACUCAGUACUAAAAAUAACAGCAGUGAGCAUGCUCUCUUACCUUGCUCCAGGACGGCCAGCACGGUGACGGCAGCGAGGCCGACCGCGUCCUCCAACAUCUCUGCAGAGAGACGACCAGUCAGAGCCGCAGAAAUGUAAAAAUAUCCACGAUGUCAACGGAGGUGGUUGUUCGAGGCGACGCCGGGUCCACCUUGGCUGAAAGGACCAGUGUGUAUA